rnacentral:rRNA from 1 species
AUGCAAGCCGAGCGGUAGAGAUUCUUCGGAAUCUUGAGAGCGGCGUACGGGUGCGGAACACGUGUGCAACCUGCCUUUAUCAGGGGGAUAGCCUUUCGAAAGGAAGAUUAAUACCCCAUAAUAUAUUAACUGGCAUCAGUGAAUAUUGAAAACUACGGUGGAUAGAGAUGGGCACGCGCAAGAUUAGCUAGUUGGUGAGGUAACGGCUCACCAAGGCGACGAUCUUUAGGGGGCCUGAGAGGGUGAUCCCCCACACUGGUACUGAGACACGGACCAGACUCCUACGGGAGGCAGCAGUGAGGAAUAUUGGACAAUGGGUGGAAGCCUGAUCCAGCCAUCCCGCGUGCAGGAAGACGGCCCUAUGGGUUGUAAACUGCUUUUAUCUGGGGAUAAACCUACUUACGUGUAAGUAGCUGAAGGUACCAGAAGAAUAAGCACCGGCUAACUCCGUGCCAGCAGCCGCGGUAAUACGGAGGGUGCAAGCGUUAUCCGGAUUUAUUGGGUUUAAAGGGUCCGUAGGCGGACUAGUAAGUCAGUGGUGAAAUCCGACAGCUUAACUGUCGAACUGCCAUUGAUACUGCUAGUCUUGAGUAAGGUUGAAGUGGCUGGAAUAAGUAGUGUAGCGGUGAAAUGCAUAGAUAUUACUUAGAACACCAAUUGCGAAGGCAGGUCACUAAGUCUUAACUGACCCUUAUGGACAAAAGCGUGGGGAGCGAACAGGAUUAGAUACCCUGGUAGUCCACGCCGUAAACGAUGAUUACUCGUUUUUGGGUUUUAUGAUUCAGAGACUAAGCGAAAG